GACGAACGCUGGCGGCGUGCUUAACACAUGCAAGUCGAACGGAAAGGCGCUGCGUUUGUGGGGUGCUCGAGUGGGGAACGGGUGAGUAACACGUGAGUAACCUGCCCUUGUCUUUGGGAUAACUUUAGGAAAAUGGGGCUAUAAUCGGAUAGGAUCUCCUGAUGCAUGGGGGUGGUUGGAGAGUUUCGGCGGUUGGGGAUGGACUCGCGGCUUAUCAGCUUGUUGGUGUGGUAGUGGCUUACCAAGGCUUUGACGGGUAGCCGGCCUGAGAGGGGGACCGGCCACAUUGGGACUGAGAUACGGACCAGAAUCCUACGGGCGGCAGCAGUGGGGAAUAUUGCACAAUGGGCGGAAGCCUGAUGCAGCAACGCCGCGUGCGGAAUGACGGCCUUCGGGUGGUAAACCGAUUUCGACUGUGACGAAGCGUGAGUGACGGUAAUUGGUAAAGAAGCACCGGCUAACUACGUG
rnacentral:rRNA from 1 species